GGUUUCCGUAGGUGAACCUGCGG
rnacentral:ncRNA from 2 species